ACCGCGGGAGGCACGCACGUCAAGUAUUAAUCUUUGUAGAAUCCAGUAGGUUGUUUAAAUUAAGCAAGUGUUUCUGUUUCGUAAACUCAUCGAUCUGGCCGAACAAACCCCCCUCUCGAUAUCCCAUUAGCCCGCUGAGAAGCAUCACUCUUGGGGCGACUACCAGCGGGAUUUGUGGAGUCACAGCACCUGUAAAGACUGUUUUCAGUAGAACAGAAGGAACCACAUGUGUGUUUGUUUCGGGAAGAUGUUUUCGCUUGUCACCAUAGGUUACCAUACAGCGGAUCUGUUUGUUGGAGAAGAAUUUGGAAGAGAUGGGCAGGGUGUGUGUGUGUGUGGAAAUGCUUGGAGGCUAUGAUGGUGAAUGCUUUGUAUAUAUACCACCUUCUUAUGAAGUCAUUUGUGAUACUAAGAAUAUCUAAUACCAAUGGCUGCUGGACUCCACACAUACACCCCGCUAGGAAGAUGGUGUUCCUCCACUGGACAUCUGAGGUGUUGGGCCUGCUCACAGGUCCAUUAGCCAAGCACAACAGUCCCCUACU